AAUCGCGGCUCGUUUUAACGUGUUAAGCAGUUUACAUGUUGAAUUUCUGGCUAACUCUGGUUGCAAGCUACGCAAAUUGCGUAGGGCACCCAUAAUUUAUCAUAACGUGAAUAUCUCUUUGUAACAUGCAGAUAUAUGUGUGGUGUCUACUGAACAUGGGUAGAUUCAUGUGGAAAUAUUUUAAUAAUGAUUUAUAUUUAUUCAAUAAAUCAGACAUCAGCAUGCAAUGCGGGAGAUAGGCCUAAUAACAGCGUCUUGGCAUGGCUAUGGCUGCAAAACGAAACUUCUGGAACAGAUAAAGAGUGCCAAGAGUGAAGAAAGGAAAAUCUCCAGUUAAAGUCACGAGGACUAAAACCAUCUGAGACCGACAACAUUGCACAUAUCAAAUUAGGAUAGCCUAAUAAUUCAGCAAGAAUCCCAAAAUGGGACCGCCAUUUUGACAAUUAAUAGUGUGCACUGCAUGGUUUACCUCCCCAGUAACGGCCCAAAGGGCUCUGGGAAGAUGUAGGAAUAUACAGGACGCUGUCCUCACCAGCCAGAGGCUGGGGACAAGCUUGCUAUCCAACGUCGUGGAACGGGACUGUACGUCAUGGCACCGAAGUGCUGCGCUCCCAUACGCCACACGGACAGAGCCACAUGAGAGCCAUCUCACAGGAUGUCCACGUUGGGUCAUAGCAUUUAUUAAGAGAGAAGUACUCACUUUGUGUUCAACAUUGUUUUGCUGUGCCUUGUCGAGGUGGACCUUGAUGAGCCUGCUGCUGUCCAGUUUCACGCGAAUCCUUUUGCCAACAAUUUCGCUGGGAAAGACCAGG